rnacentral:lncRNA from 1 species
GUCCUUAAGAAGGAGAGGAGGUACAGAACUCACAUCACAGGAAGACUCAGUGGAGAUGUUAGAGGCCUUAACGAGUGGUGUGAUAAACUGAGGUGCUCAGAAGUAAGGCUUCAGACAGGAACUGGUCUUCAUCGGUUUUCAGGACAACCUCACCAUGGGGGUGUUAAUGAUGUUCUUGCUUCUCAGUGCUGCUUAUUCUUUGGGAGAUGCAAGUUUUAGGACACCUGAAUGUAAUCAGGGAUGGCAGCAGUUUGGAUCCCGCUGCUUCAGUUUUGAAGGACUGAGGUCAUGGACUUCAGGGACAGUCUUGCUCCCAGAUCUGACAGGAGCUGGUCCUGGACUGAUGGAUCUGGGUUUAAUUACCACGAAUGGGCACAAGGGGAACCCAACAACUAUAAUGGUGUCAGAGACGUGUAUUCAGAUGAACUUUGGAGAUAAACAUCGCUGGAACGACGACGUCUGUGAGAAGCGCUUUGCAUCAGUCUGCUCCAGAAGCCAUUAAAUGAACUUGUUGCUGUGACAUCAUCCUGUUGAAUGAUGUGGUUGUCAAUAAAACAGCUGAACACAUUUCUUGUGUCAUUUGGUUUAAUUUUACAUCAUGUCCUUGAGGGUUGUU